rnacentral:tRNA from 1 species
GCCUGGCUGGCUCAGUCAGUAGAGCAUGCGACUCUUGAUCUCAGGGUGGUGAGUUCGAGCCCCACACUGGGUG